rnacentral:rRNA from 1 species
GAUGAACGCUGACAGAAUGCUUAACACAUGCAAGUCAUUGGCGAAGCUGCGCUUGCGCAGUCUAGCCAAGGCGGACGGGUAAGUAACGCGUAAGGAACUUGCCCUGCAGACAGGGAUAACAGACGGAAACGACUGAUAACACCUGGUAUUGUCAGGCUGGCGCAUGCCGGCCUGAUGAAAGGAGACGCUGCAGGAGAGCCUUGCGUCCUAUUAGCUAGUUGGUGGGGUAACGGCCCACCAAGGCGAUGAUAGGUAGCCGGCCUGAGAGGGUGAACGGCCACAAGGGGACUGAGAUACGGCCCUUACUCCUACGGGAGGCAGCAGUGGGGAAUAUUGGACAAUGGGGGCAACCCUGAUCCAGCAAUUCUGUGUGCACGAAGAAGGUUUUCGGAUUGUAAAGUGCUUUCAGCAGGGAAGAAGAAAGUGACGGUACCUGCAGAAGAAGCGACGGCUAAAUACGUG